GUGGGGAAUAUUGCACAAUGGGCGCAAGCCUGAUGCAGCCAUGCCGCGUGAGUGAAGAAGGCCUUAGGGUUGUAAAACUCUUUCAGUGGUGAUGAUAAUGACAGUAGCCACAGAAGAAGCCCCGGCUAACUCCGUGCCAGCAGCCGCGGUAAUACGGAGGGGGCUAGCGUUGUUCGGAAUUACUGGGCGUAAAGCGCGCGUAGGCGGAUUGAUCAGUCAGGGGUGAAAUCCCGAGGCUUAACCUCGGAACUGCCUCUGAUACUGUCAGUCUUGAGUUCGAGAGAGGUGAGUGGAAUUCCUAGUGUAGAGGUGAAAUUCGUAGAUAUUAGGAAGAACACCAGUGGCGAAGGCGGCUCACUGGCUCGAUACUGACGCUGAGGUGCGAAAGCGUGGGGAGCAAACAGG
rnacentral:rRNA from 1 species